rnacentral:lncRNA from 1 species
GUUUUCUAAGAGCUAAUCAAAUAAAGAAUUUAACUUUAUAUGGUAUUUUAAAUCCAAACUUUCAGCAGAAGGUAAUCACCGGACACCCUCCGUCUCUAAGCAAAUUAUAUACAGACUUAACGGUAAAAUACAGCUUCGCAUUCCAUCUCCAGCAAAUUUUAUCAGUCUCAUCAACAACGCAAACGUCUGAUAGUAGCACUCUGA